rnacentral:misc_RNA from 1 species
GAAAUGCGAUAAGUAAUGUGAAUUGCAGAAUUCAGUGAAUCAUCGAAUCUUUGAACGCACCUUGCGCUCCUUGGUAUUCCUUGGAGCAUGCCUGUUUGAGUAUCAUGAAAUCUUCAAAGUAAAUCUUUUGUUAACUCAAUUGGUUUCUACUUUGGUAUUGGAGGUCUUUGCAGCUUCACACCUGCUCCUCUUUGUUCAUUAGCUGGAUCUCAGUGUUAUGCUUGGUUCCACUCGGCGUGAUAAGUUAUCUAUCGCUGAGGACACUGUAAAAGGUGGCCAAGGUAAAUGCAGAUGAACCGCUUCUAAUAGUCCAUUGACUUGGACAAUACUUUUAUGAUCUGAUAUCAAAUCAGGUAGGACUACCCGCUGAACUUAGGC